rnacentral:rRNA from 1 species
UAGGGAAUCUUCCGCAAUGGGCGAAAGCCUGACGGAGCAACGCCGCGUGAGAGAUGAAGGUCUUCGGAUCGUAAAACUCUGUUAUUAGGGAAGAACAAAUGUGUAAGUAACUAUGCACGUCUUGACGGUACCUAAUCAGAAAGCCACGGCUAACUACGUGCCAGCAGCCGCGGUAAUACGUAGGUGGCAAGCGUUAUCCGGAAUUAUUGGGCGUAAAGCGCGCGUAGGCGGUUUUUUAAGUCUGAUGUGAAAGCCCACGGCUCAACCGUGGGGGGUCAUUGGAAACUGGAAAACUUGAGUGCAGAAGAGGAAAGUGGAAUUCCAUGUGUAGCAGUGAAAUGCGCAGAGAUAUGGGGGAACACCAGUGGCGAAGGCGACUUUCUGGUCUGUAACUGACGCUGAUGUGCGAAAGCGUGGGGAUCAAACAGG